AUGAACGCUGGCGGCGUGCUUAACACAUGCAAGUCGAACGAAGCAUUUGCGACAGAUUUUUUCGGAAUGAAGUUGCUUAUGACUGAGUGGCGGACGGGUGAGUAACGCGUGGGUAACCUGCCUUGUACUGGGGGAUAGCAGCUGGAAACGGCUGGUAAUACCGCAUAAGCGCACAAUGUUGCAUGACAUGGUGUGAAAAACUCCGGUGGUAUAAGAUGGACCCGCGUCUGAUUAGCUAGUUGGUGAGAUAACAGCCCACCAAGGCGACGAUCAGUAGCCGACCUGAGAGGGUGACCGGCCACAUUGGGACUGAGACACGGCCCAGACUCCUACGGGAAGCAGCAGUGGGGAAUAUUGCACUAUGGAGGAAACUCUGAUGCAGCGACGCCGCGUGAGUGAAGAAGUAAUUCGUUAUGUAAAGCUCUAUCAGCAGGGAAGAUAGUGACGGUACCUGACUAAGAAGCUCCGGCUAAAUACGUG
rnacentral:rRNA from 1 species